AUUGAACGCUGGCGGCAGGCCUAACACAUGCAAGUCGAGCGGAUGAAGGGAGCUUGCUCCUGGAUUCAGCGGCGGACGGGUGAGUAAUGCCUAGGAAUCUGCCUGGUAGUGGGGGAUAACGUCCGGAAACGGGCGCUAAUACCGCAUACGUCCUGAGGGAGAAAGUGGGGGACCUUCGGACCUCACGCUAUCAGAUGAGCCUAGGUCGGAUUAGCUAGUUGGUGGAGUAAAGGCCUACCAAGGCGACGAUCCGUAACUGGUCUGAGAGGAUGAUCAGUCACACUGGAACUGAGACACGGUCCAGACUCCUACGGGAGGCAGCAGUGGGGAAUAUUGGACAAUGGGCGAAAGCCUGAUCCAGCCAUGCCGCGUGUGUGAAGAAGGUCUUCGGAUUGUAAAGCACUUUAAGUUGGGAGGAAGGGCAGUAAGUUAAUACCUUGCUGUUUUGACGUUACCAACAGAAUAAGCACCGGCUAACUUCGUG
rnacentral:rRNA from 1 species